rnacentral:rRNA from 1 species
UACGGAGGAGGCAAGCGUUAUCCGGAAUUAUUGGGCGUAAAGCGUCCGCAGGUGGCACCUCAAGUCUGCUGUCAAAGACCGGGGCUUAACCCCAGAAAGGCAGUGGAAACUGAAGUGCUAGAGUGCAGUAGGGGUAGAGGGAAUUCCCGGUGUAGCGGUGAAAUGCGUAGAUAUCGGGAAGAACACCAGUGGCGAAGGCGCUCUACUGGGCCACAACUGACGCUGAGGGACGAAAGCUAGGGGAGCGAAAGGG